rnacentral:rRNA from 1 species
CCUACGGGAGGCAGCAGUGGGGAAUAUUGCACAAUGGGGGAAACCCUGAUGCAGCGACGCCGCGUGAGUGAAGAAGUAAUUCGUUACGUAAAGCUCUAUCAGCAGGGAAGAAACACUGACCUUACGGUCAGCAGACGGUACCUGAGUAAGAAGCCCCGGCUAACUACGUGCCAGCAGCCGCGGUAAUACGUAGGGGGCAAGCGUUAUCCGGAUUUACUGGGUGUAAAGGGGUCGUAGACGGUGCGCCAAGUCUGGAGUGAAAUGCCGCAGCUUAACUGGAGAACUGCUUUGGAAACUGGCGAACUAGAGUGCGGGAGGGGUAAGCGGAAUUCCUAGUGUAGCGGUGAAAUGCGUAGAUAUUAGGAGGAACACCGGUGGCGAAGGCGGCUUACUGGACCGUAACUGACGUUGAGGCUCGAAAGCGUGGGGAGCAAACAGGAUUAGAUACCCCAGUAGUC